UAUUCUUUCCUUUUUACGCUACCGAGUUUCAGUGAGUUAUGCUGGGGCUUUGAUAUCUAAGAAAAUAAUGGACUCUAUUGGUUAUAUCUACUGAUUUUCACGUACCUCAGACAAAAAUAAAAUAAAAUCAUUUUUCACAUAGCAGUUUUGUUUGAUUGUUCAGCUGAUACGAUUUCUCCUUAUUUGAAUUUUACUUUAUGUAUGUGUACCCUUUCCUUUCCUUUCUGUUCUUAAGCAUUUAUGGACUCACAGUGGCUUUGUAUUGUAGCUUUUCAUGUGGAUGACUCAGAAGUCCCCUUGAAUGUUUGCUUGGGUAAGUAAUUUACUGGUGGGGAGAUGUAUUUUCGAGGUGUUCGAUGUCAUAAGCAUGUGAAUUCAGAGAUACUUGCAGAGAUGUUGGUUAUGAGUUCAUGUCUAAUGGUACCAAAGUGACUGGCUGUGCGAUAAAAUCAAGAGGAGCCUGGAUUUUAGUAUGAGGUUAUGUAUUGCUUCAUUAUGAGGCCACUAACAUACUUUUGGACUUCAGUUUCUGAAUCAUGCCAACAGAGUUAUGGGAAUAGGCCUCAGUAAGGAACUUGACAUUUAAUUGUGCAUUGGUAUCUCACAUGCAGCUGUAAAAGUAGUUGGGCACUCUUGCUCAGUGAGUUUUCUUUUUUGAUUUUGGUUUCGUUUCUGAUAUUCCUUUUUGUUAGAAAGGAACUGAACUUCAUCCUUUUUGUAUGAAACUGAACUUUAUUUAAUUACUGUUAGUUGUUAGUUCAGUUAGAAAGAAAGCAUUUGAUACGACUUGAAUGCAGCAGCAAAGCGUGGGAUCUCUAACUAGUGAGUACUAUAGUCUAAAUUGAACAAGUGAAGGAUCGGAUGUGCAGCUUUAGUAGAUGCUUUGGCUCUAACAUGCCCCACCAUGUAAGUAACAAAAAAAAAAACAAAAAGACUGAAGCACUUGCCAGCUAGCUAGGAUCCCUCAAGCUCUGCCUUGUAGUGAGGGGAACUCUUUUUGUUUGUUCUCUUACUUAAUUAUUCAA